GGUCCAGGACCAGGGGGUUCCUUUAGGACCUCAUGGCCCUGCCUCCUUCCUGGCUUCUCACGUGAUGUUUUCUUCCCACAGGUGGAAAAGGAGGGAGCUACGCUAAGGCUGCAAGCGGUGACAGUGCCCAGGGCUCUGAUGUGUCUCUCUCAGCUUCUAAAGCGUGAGACAGCUGACUUGUGGACGACUGAGUGAUGCAAGAUGUAUUGAUGCCCCCACUUUGUGACUUCAGGAACCUCUGACCUCUCUUUCUGCAAAGGGCAUCUGAAUGUGUCUGUGUUCCUCUCAGCAUCAUGUGAGGAGGGGGGAGACUGCCCGCCCCCUGCCCUCCACGCCCCGUCCCUGCACUGAGCCUCUUCCCUGACCCACUGUCCUGUUCUAGCAGAGGCUGUUUCCAUCCCCGCUUUCACUUCAUGUUACUCUGACCGGCAACUUCUUACUUCCUUUUGAAAUAAGAAUCUGUAUGUGAAUCUGUUUUUUCAGUUCUUGCCAUUGAAGGCAAAAAUUCUAAAUUUUGAGAGGAAAUAAAUGGAAGCACUGAGAACCUUCUAGAA